GGGGUUUAGGAUGGAGCCCCACCUCGGUCUCUGUGCUUGGCAGGGAGUCUGCAUGAGACUCUCUCCCUCUCCCCUCUCCCCUCUAAUAAAUAAAUCUUAAAAAAAAAAAAAAAAGAAUUGGGUCACUAGGAAAAUCAGCCUUCUUUCUCUUCUUAUUUUGGUUAGCCCUCCCCCCAAAGAUAAGGUCUUAUUUGAAAUGAGGUGGGCGAUGAGGAGAAACAGGGAUUAUAAAGAAAGGAAUAAACACAUCGUUCCAACAAAUGGGUCUUUCUUGUACUAAGCACCCAGCCCAGUAUCUGGCCCACGGGAAACACUGAAUGAAUGAAUGAAUGAUUUCUGAGUAGUGCAAUGUUUACACAGCACUUAUGGCUCUGAUGAAAUCAACUGAUAGCUGAACAGAUUAUUUUUAUUUUAAUGUAGGCUUUAAGAUUUUAUUUAUAGGAAUAAAUGUUAAUUACAUGACAUUUUUAAAAUGCUCAAAUGCACAAAAUAGGAAUUAAGCUCACUUGUAAUCCCAUCACUCAGAAUUCAUCACUGUUAAUAUUUUAUAGUCAUAUAUCAACAUAUUGUAUAAGUUAUUUAAAAGCAAAACUACUAAAUGAUAAAAGAGUAAGCUAGGUUAUAUGGUACAGAAUUCAUAUAGCCUCAAAGUGCUACAUCCUGCCUGGAUUCUAGGGUUUUUUUUUUUUUUUUUUUGCACAAUUUUGCUCAAGUUUUCUGUUGUGUUUCAGUUUGGCUUGUAGGUCCAACCUAGUCAGCUCUUGCUGCAAGAAUGCUGCAUAACAAAAAACCAGGUGACAGAGAACAGGACAGCAACCAGGUCUUCUGAUCCAUGUCGCAUACAAUGUGCAGGACUUAAUGACCUUCCCAUAAGCGACCAAGGCAGACUCUGCAGAGGAGCAACUACUGCAAUUUGCAUCUUAAAAUCAUCCCAAGUUGCUUCAGGGUAUCAGCUGCCCUUACUGGGUGCAAGUAAGCAGCUUCCGGUGUAUCACAUUGGUGAUGCCAGUGCCCUCCUUCAGCACUCAACUUCCUUUUUAUUCCCAGAAACAUGAUCCAGGGGGAAAGUUCUGUAGCUGUAUCAGAAUUUUAAAUUCGCUGACUCAAAGUGAAUUUCUUUAAUAUUCAUGUUUACUAUGAGUGAAAUAAUCCAAGGUUUUGUGUUAUUAGCCUGCGUGCUGCUAUCAAAUUCAUGUAGGGACUUGGAAACUAUUUUUUUUAAAGUACACUGGAUCUAUUUAUUUUUUAUAUGGGUUCUCUUUACCUGAGAAAGAUUGGAAUUCAGAAAUGCAUCUACAAUUUGUCCAAAGAACAAAUUAUUAUAAUAGAAUUUUUGAACAUGAUGAAUACAAUGGAUAACAAUCGAUCAUCCGAGUUAUGUUUGGACAUACUAUAGGCUUAUUGUCUUUAAUUACUUAAUGAAAUAAAUCUGAAUUUGUCACAUAACGUGGUAGCCGG
rnacentral:lncRNA from 1 species